GGCUUAGAAGCAGCCACUCAUUCAAAGAGUGCGUAAUAGCUCACUGGUCGAGUGAGUCCUGCGUCCGAAGGAUUUACCGGGGCUAAAACUUACUACCGAAGCUACGGCAUCAGUAAUGGAUGGGUAGGGGAGCUUCCCAUACGGGUUGAAGCAUGACCGUAAGGACAUGUGGACAGUAUGGGAGUGAGAAUGUUGGCAUGAGUAGCGAGAUGUGGGUGAGAAUCCCACAGGCCGUAAACCCAAGGUUUCCAGGG
rnacentral:rRNA from 1 species